rnacentral:lncRNA from 1 species
AAUCCAGUACCCAUAGAACGGUACAGCAAGAUACAAUCACUAGCCUCACAAGAACAAGAGAAACAUAGCGUAACUAGUUCAACUAAACUCUAAUUUCCACAGUCAAUCUAAGAAACACAAUCCAAUCAUGUACGCCAAAACAUCUAUUCCCAAAACACAGCCCAUGAAUCAGAAAUCCCACACACACACACCUGAAUGUCGAGUUAAAGCAACCAAUUUGAAUUGCAG